rnacentral:tRNA from 1 species
GCGCCGGUGGUGUAAUGGCGUAGAGUAUUCCCGCCGCCCGGUUAGAAGGAGGUGCGGGUUCGAGUCCCGCCCGGCGCU